UUAGUUUUUGAAAAUAGCCAUAAGAUUUAUUAAUGCAAUUACAUUACAAUCAUGUACAAUAAUUUAUUUUAAAUAGAUUUUAAUUAUUCAUUUUAAUUAAUUUGGUUUCAACUCUUUCUUUUGAUCUUUCUUUAAUAUUUUUCAAUGUCUUCUUCUUCUAAGCCUAGUGUUUACUGGUAAUGGUUUUGGAAUGUCCAGUGUUGAACAAUAAUUCAUCAGUCUGGCUUGUUGGAUGAACAAUCCAUUCAGGAUUAUGAAGUUUAUGUUGCUGAUGAUCAUCAUAAUGAUGUGUUGGUCAAAAAGCUAUAAAAAUAGCCAAAAGUGGUACAUCAUCUCUCAAACUUCUUAAAAAUAUGGCCAAAGCCUCUGUUUGGUGGCAAAGUCAUCCAUUAUAAAAGUGUUGUACUCUUCUAACCUCAAUGAAAACCCGAAUCUAGUUAGAUUGUGGCAUGUGGUUACAACUGAAUUUUUUAAUUUAUGGACACCUCCAUGUAUUUAACUGCUGAUAUCAUGAGUUUUGCUGUCAUCCCUUGACUCGUGAUGUUAAUGUCUACUAUUGUCAAAAAGCAAACCUCAACGCCCAACAAUCAAUUAAUCAAAUUCAAAUCUAAAUGCCAAUCUUUUAUUUCGCUUGGUUUGAUGGAUUGGAUAAUGUGUAGUCUUUAUUAUUCAAAGUUAUCAGUUUAAAUUCAAAGCCAUCCAGGAUUGUUUUGAACCAGCCUCAACGUUUAAUCUCAUUCAGUUUUAAUUAACUGUUCUGAUUUAUGUCAACUUAAUUUCAUAUUUCAAUCUCAACUAUUGACAACAAUGUUAUUUGGAAUGCCUUUUGUUGUAAACAGUGCUGAAAAAUUACCUUUAAUCUACUCUGUUAAAUUAACCUUACACAAUUGAAUUUGACACUUUAACUUCAAUCUAGUUGACAUCUUAUCAAAGAGUUAUUUUAAAAAAAGUGCAAUCUUUGCAUUCUUUACAAUGCAACUCAAUUAUUGUUUCCAUUCCUGAGUUAUACUGUUGCUGUUAACAGAUGAUUGAUCAAACUCCUCGAGAAACUUACAUUGGAAUUGUAAAUUGGUUCUCAAAAAAGAGUCCGAAAAUCAGAUACUGUAUGAUUAAACGAUUAAAUCACAAUAGAGUGGACACUAGAAAUAGCAAAGCAAACUUGAUGGUUCAACAAGAUUCACUCGACCAGAUAAUCAACUGUCUUUGAAUUAAGAUAAACACAAAACUGGAAAAUAAAUGAUGAGAAUAGUUUUGACUACAAUAGCAGAUGAAGCUGUUGCGAAAAAAGUAUUAGCUCAUUGAAAUAAGCUAAACAAACAAUUGGGUUGAAAUCACGUUGGAUUGAUGAUGGUUAUGACAAUAACGAGUAAAAAUAUCAUGGAAAGAUUUCUGUUAUGACAAUGUUGUCAUAAUAAUGUGGCUGGUAUGUAAAUGGCAACAAAAAUAUAUGUAUUUCUGAGACUAAAUAUGACAGAUGCAAAAGAAUAUCAAUGUUUGAAAAGGCAGAAUCACCAUACGUAAGAUUUAAAAUCUUGAAGCCAGAAAAAGGUUAAACUUGAUGACAUAAUGAAUUUUCAAUGUGUUUAAACAUUUAAAGAUUCAAACAUUUCAGUCUAUAAAUUGUAAGGUAAGGUAACAUUUGAAGACUGUAGCAUAAUAAAAGUAUAAUAUUCAAACUUCUGGUUAAAUCAGUUGUAAGAGGACGAUGUUUAUGUUAACCUACAAUACUCGAUACCAAAUCUAAUGUUUUUGAAGUCAAUUUAAGUGUAAAUUGAUCAUUUCUCAGCUUUAAUCAUCCAUAAAUAACUCUUCAACAUUGGUGAUCACUUUAAGUAUUGAUCAUUCUAAAGGUUUAUAGCAAUUCGGCAAUGAUAAAUGGUCAGCAAUCAAUAGUAAACAAGAAGGCUAAUUCAAUCACCAAGUUAAUUUGAAUGGAAAACACAACAAGCCAAGUUGUCCGUGAAACCUAAAUUGUCUGUCUAAUAACUGUUGUAUCAAGGCUCGAUCUUCAUGUUCAAACAUUACUAAUAGACCAGCCGGAGGCCGGCGUAGUCUUAGCAAGUGAAUUUUUGGGUGUUUGGUUGGAAAUAACAGAACAGAUUCAACCUAAAAGGUUAAUUUUUGCAGCUGAGUAUUUACAAUCUUUGAACUAUGUUUUUGGCACCCAAAAACAGUUUAUCACUAUUUAAAUCUUGUCAUGAGUGAAAGAUUGUUUUUGAGGUCAAGAAAACGAUGUCUCAAAAUUAUAUCACAGGUUUCUGAUUAUAACGCCCGUCAUCGGAUCAAAAUUAUCUUGGUUUCUGACCUGCGUCUCAAUCAUACCUACAAUAAUGCCAAGUUUGAAACUGAUACUGUCUGUGGUUCUUGAGUUACAUUGGUGUAAUUGUUACACUUAACUCAUGUCUUUGCUUCGCUCAGACUAAUUAAUGUAAUCUCGUUCUGAUUACAGUUGAAUUGAGAUUGAUUUUGUUUCUAUCCAAUUGCGAUUAUCCUGCUUUUCAUUUUUCUUCAUUGCUUUUAGGCCUUUUCUGGUUUAAAUUGAGUUGAGUUAAUUAAAAACAUGGAACAAAAAAAUCAAGUGAACACAUAAUUAUCCGAAUUGCCAGGAAAUCAUCAUGAUUGAGUUGCUUGAAUUGUAUGCUGUUGAUGUUGACUGUUAAUGGUUUAAUUUUGAAAAUGUCAACUGCAAAGUGAACCGAAAGUAUCUUUUGUUUGACAUUAAGCUUGAUUUACUGAGAAAACGAGGGAUAAUCUGAAUUAACCAGAAAUAAUGAGAGUUGAUAUAUUCAUAGAAAUGGUAUUUUGAUAAUUGAGAGAGAAAAAAUUGAGAAAAUUGAUCAAUUUUAUUGAUUUUACCAAUUAAUGAUUAUAGUAAACAAGAGCCUGAAUUAUUACUAAUAAUAUUAUUAUUAGACUGGUUUAAGCCUUGACAGGUAAACUGGAAUCCCUGGAUAAAAGUUAUGACUGUGACAAUGCAAAUGAAAGGUAAACCAAUGUUGAUUAAAAACUGAAAU